GACCUGGUGGCGUAACGGUAACGCGCGCAUUAUCAGUUCCUCGCAAUAUUGCACUAUAUUGCGAGUCCCUCGUUCGAAUCGGGGUCAGGUCG